GCAAUUACAGAACAGCAAGGUCAGCUGCCGGGAGCAAGAAUCUCCCUUUUGGCAGAGAAAAACAGAUGGAUGGAAACACAACGAUAUACAGAAAGAUGUUACCUCUUGGAGGGGGGGUGUUUUUCAGAUGCUGGUCACCAUAGAUGCUGGUCACCACCAUGCCCUUUCAUAAGUGUCCUUACAAAAGGAGGAAAUCAGGACAGAUACAUCCAGAGGGAAGACGCUAUGAAGACACAGAGAAGAGGGCCAUCUAUGCCAAGGAGAGGGGUAGGAAGCAAAUUCUUCCCACACACACCUCGGAGGAACCAACCCUGCUGACACCUUAAUUUUGGACUUCCAGCUUCC
rnacentral:lncRNA from 1 species